UUUUGCCUACGGGGGGCAGCAGUGAGGAAUAUUGGUCAAUGGGAGAGAUCCUGAACCAGCCACGCCGCGUGAGAGAAGACGGCCCUAUGGGUUGUAAACCUCUUUUGUCGGAGAACAAAACCCGGGACGUGUCCCGGCCUGCGUGUAUCCCAAGAAAAAGCAUCGGCUAACUCCGUGCCAGCAGCCGCGGUAAUACGGAGGACGCGAGCGUUAUCCGGAUUUAUUGGGUUUAAA
rnacentral:rRNA from 1 species